AUUGAACGCUGGCGGCAGGCUUAACACAUGCAAGUCGAGCGGUAGCACAAGAGAGCUUGCUCUCUGGGUGACGAGCGGCGGACGGGUGAGUUAUGUCUGGGAAACUGCCUGAUGGAGGGGGUUAACUACUGGAAACGGUAGCUAAUACCUCAUAACGUCGCAAGACCAAAGAGGGUGACCUUCGGGUCUCUUGCCAUCAGAUGUGCCCACAUGUGAUUAGCUAGUAGGUGGGGUAAUGUCUCACCUAGGCGACGCUCCCUAGUUGCUCUGAGAGGAUGACCAUCCCCACGUGAACUGAGACACGGUCCAGCCUCCUACGGGAUGCAGCAGUGGGGACUAUUGCGCAAUGGGCGCAAGCCUCAUGCAACCAUGCCGCGUGUGUGAAGAAGGACUUCGAGUUGUAAAGCACUUGCAGCGAGGAGGAAGGUGGUGAACUUAAUACGUUCAUCAAUUGCCGUUACUCGCAAAAGAAGCACCGGCUAACUCCGUG
rnacentral:rRNA from 1 species